rnacentral:rRNA from 1 species
AGUACGAAAGGACCANAAGAGUAAAAUAAUUUUAUUAUCUUUUGAUUACUAUUAAUUUAGGAUAAA